CAGCCGCCGCGGGAAUACGAAGGUCCCGAGCGUUGUUCGGAAUCACUGGGCGUAAAGGGAGCGUAGGCGGCGUGGUAAGUCAAAUGUGAAAUCCCGGGGCUCAACCCCGGAACUGCAUCCGAUACUGCCGUGCUAGAGGAUUGGAGAGGUAGCUGGAAUUCUUGGUGUAGCAGUGAAAUGCGUGGAGAUCAAGAGGAACACUCGUGGCGAAAGCGAGCUACUGGACAAUAUCUGACGCUGAGGCUCGAAGGCCAGGGUAGCGAAAGGGAUUAGAUACCCGCGUAGUCCCUGUCUCUUAUAC
rnacentral:rRNA from 1 species